rnacentral:rRNA from 1 species
UACAGAGGUGGCAAGCGUUGUUCGGAAUUACUGGGCGUAAAGGGUGCGUAGGCGGUUGUUUAAGUCUGUCGUGAAAUCCCCGGGCUCAACCUGGGAAUGGCGAUGGAUACUGGGCAGCUAGAGUGUGUCAGAGGAUGGUGGAAUUCCCGGUGUAGCGGUGAAAUGCGUAGAGAUCGGGAGGAACAUCAGUGGCGAAGGCGGCCAUCUGGGACAACACUGACGCUGAAGCACGAAAGCGUGGGGAGCAAACAGG